rnacentral:rRNA from 1 species
UACGUAGGUGACAAGCGUUGUCCGGAUUUACUGGGCGUAAAGAGCGCGCAGGCGGUCGAUCAAGUCGAGUGUGAAAGCCCCCGGCUCAACUGGGGAGGGUCAUUCGAUACUGAUCGACUCGAAGGCAGGAGAGGGUAGUGGAAUUCCCGGUGUAGUGGUGAAAUGCGUAGAUAUCGGGAGGAACACCGGUGGCGAAGGCGGCCCACUGGAUCGGUACUGACGCUGAGGUGCGAAAGCGUGGGGAGCAAACAGG